rnacentral:rRNA from 1 species
AUUGAACGCUGGCGGCAGGCCUAACACAUGCAAGUCGAACGAGUGGCGGACGGGUGAGUAAUGUCUGGGAAACUGCCUGAUGGAGGGGGAUAACUACUGGAAACGGUAGCUAAUACCGCAUACCAUCAGAUGUGCCCAGAGGGGAUUAGAUUGUUGGUGGGGUAACGGCUCACCAAGGAGACGAUCACUAGAUGGUCUGAGCGGAUGACCUGCCACACUGGAACUGAGACACUGUCCAGACUCCUACGGGAGGCAGCAGUGGGGAAUAUUGCACAAUGGGCGCAAGCCUGAUGCAGCCAUGCCGCGUGUAUGAAGAAGGCCUUCGGGUUGUAAAGUACUUUCAGCGGGGAGGCGUUACCCUCAGAAGAAGCACCGGCUAACUCCGUGCCAGCCGCCGCGGUAAUAC